rnacentral:rRNA from 1 species
GACGAACGCUGGCGGCGUGCUUAACACAUGCAAGUCGAGCGGUAAGGCCCUUUCGGGGGUACACGAGCGGCGAACGGGUGAGGAAUACAUGGGUAACCUACCCUCGAGUGGGGAAUAACUAGCCGAAAGGUUAGCUAAUACCGCGUACGCUUCUUGGACUUCGGUUCAGGGAGGAAAGCGAUGCCGAGGGUAUCGCGCUCUUGGAUGGGCUCAUGUCCUAUCAGCUUGUUGGUGAGGUAACGGCNCACCAAGGCUUCGACGGGUAGCUGGUCUGAGAGGACGAUCAGCCACACUGGCACUGCGACACGGGCCAGACUCCUACGGGAGGCAGCAGUAAGGAAUAUUGCGCAAUGGGCGAAAGCCUGACGCAGCGACGCCGCGU